rnacentral:rRNA from 1 species
UUAGAGUUUGAUCCUGGCUCAGGAUGAACGCUAGCGACAGGCUUAACACAUGCAAGUCGAGGGGCAGCGAGAGGGUAGCAAUACCUUUGUCGGCGACCGGCGCACGGGUGCGUAACACGUAUGCAACCUACCUCAGACAGGGGGAUAAUCCGUUGAAAGGCGGUCUAAUACCUCAUAAUACAGUGGUUCUGCAUGGGACUAUUUGUUAAAGAUUUCGAUUCGUUCAAGGAUGGGUAUGCGUGACAUUAGGUAGUUGGUGAGGUAAAGGCUCACCAAGCCCGUGAUGUCUAGGGGAACUGAGAGGUUUGUCCCCCACACUGGUACUGAGACACGGACCAGACUCCUACGGGAGGCAGCAGUGAGGAAUCUUGGUCAAUGGGCGCAAGCCUGAACCAGCCAUGCCGCGUGCAGGAUGACGGCUCUAAGAGUUGUAAACUGCUUUUAUACGUGAGUAACCGCGGGUACGUGUACCCGCCUGCAAGUAACGUAUGAAUAAGGAUCGGCUAACUCCGUGCCAGCAGCCGCGGUAAUACGGAGGAUCCAAGCGUUAUUCGGAUUUAUUGGGUUUAAAGGGUGCGCAGGCGGAUUGUUAAGUUAGUCGUAAAAUCGUAGGGCUCAACCCUAUAGCCGCGAUUAAAACUGGCAGUCUGGAGAUCAGUUGCAGAGGGCGGAAUGUGUAGUGUAGCGGUGAAAUGCUUAGAUAUUACACAGAACACCGAUUGCGAAGGCAGCUCUCUAAACUGAUUCUGACGCUGAGGCACGAAAGCGUGGGGAGCAAACAGGAUUAGAUACCCUGGUAGUCCACGCAGUAAACGAUGAUAACUCGCUGCCGGCGAUACACCGUUCGGUGGCCAAGCGAAAGCGAUAAGUUAUCCACCUGGGGAGUACGUUCGCAAGAAUGAAACUCAAAGGAAUUGACGGGGGCCCGCACAAGCGGAGGAACAUGUGGUUUAAUUCGAUGAUACGCGAGGAACCUUACCCGGGCUUGAAAGUUAGCGACCGUCCCUGAAAGGGGACUUCUCUUUUAGAGCGCGAAACUAGGUGCUGCAUGGUUGUCGUCAGCUCGUGCCGUGAGGUGUCGGGUUAAGUCCCAUAACGAGCGCAACCCUUAUCCUUAGUUGCCAGCAUGUAAUGAUGGGGACUCUAGGGAGACUGCCGGUGCAAACCGUGAGGAAGGUGGGGAUGACGUCAAAUCAGCACGGCCCUUAUGUCCGGGGCGACACACGUGUUACAAUGGAAGAUACAAUGAGCAGCCAAGUGGUGAUACCGAGCUAAUCUCAAAAAAUCUCUCUCAGUUCGGAUUGCAGGCUGAAACUCGCCUGCAUGAAGUUGGAUUCGCUAGUAAUCGCACAUCAGCCAUGGUGCGGUGAAUACGUUCCCGGGCCUUGCACACACCGCCCGUCA